GAUAGUGAAAAAAGCCUGAAGGAUCUUGCUUUCACAUCUGCAAGCACUUUUAUCUGCUGCUGAAGUGCGGGAGAGCACACUACUCAGCAGAGGCUUGCUUCACUUAAUGAAAUGUGCGCCCUGCAGCCUUCAGGAGCUGGAAAAUUAGCACACCAGCCCCACACACAUAUCUGCAACUUAAUCAGUGUUUUCUGUAAUUGGUCUUUAAGACAGCUUUUCUGCCUAAUGGCACAGAAAUAAUUAAUCUAUACACAUGUUAAAAUAGAUACCUACAAUGUGUCUAGAGCCAAGCAGGCUUAUGGGCUAUGCAGAUGAAUAAAACUAGGUUCCUGCCUUCAAGAACCUCACAUUCUAGUUAAGACAGAGAGAGAUGUAAUCAAACAAUUACAAAACAAUGGGAUGCUUGUACACAGAGGGAUGAAUACGAGCACACAGAAUGAAGACCAAUGGUACAAGGAAGGUGGUGGUUAAGGAGAGCUUUGUGAAAGGAGUGAUAUCUGACUGGGUUGUGUCAGUGUGAGUGAGUACUAAAGACAAAGGUGAAAAAGGGUCUGAUCCAUUGGAGUAGAGUGGGGGUAGCCAGUAAGAUGGGGCUGAAAGGUAGGCAGAGGACAGGUUGUGAAGGAUGUCGUAGGCUGAGGGAAUUUUAAUUUCGGGUUGUAGGCAAUUGGAAGCCCAUGAAAUGACAUUUAAUAUUAUUUUUGAUGCACAAUUUGUUGUAGAGAAAAUUUUCUUUAUAAAUGGAUAUAGAAAUUACUAUGAGAUGGGUCUUUAUGUUUUAUGAUAAGUACAUUAUUAUAUGGUCUUAUUGUGCUUCCAAUUUAAGUAACCAAACAGUGAAGGCUGUUUCAUGUAAACCAAGACAUAAAAAGAAGUAUGGACAAUGAGGAGACAUAAGGUAUGGACUGAGAGAGAAACAGGUUUCUUCGGGGGUGAACACACUGUUCUUGCAUGCUCAUGCAUUUAUUUUCCCUUGCAUUCCAGCUUACCUAGUUUAUCCCUGAAAGUCUGUACCAGGAGGACAUUUCCACCUGGAUGGCUCUCCACUGCUUUUAACUUUGCUUAACACACCCCAAACUGAAUCCCUCCCUGCCACAAACUGAUGAUCCUUCCAGCUAUCCCUCUGGUCAGGGGGAACAAGAUCUUUUUAUAUUCCUCAGGCAAGAAACCUCAGGAUCACCUCAACCUUCCACUCCAUUUCAAUCACUUUCCUCAUCUCUCAGACUCACUCAUCAGUCUCCAAGUUCACUGUCUCUAUCUAGGUGAUAAUCGAUGGCCAGACUGGUUCAUGGCGAUCUCUCUUAGCUAAUCUUCAUCUUCAAUUUCUGCCCUUCAUCCUGCAUAUCGAUGUAAAAUUUCUCUACUAACACAUCAUUGUCUAGCCUGGGCAAUAUAGUGAGACCUCGUCUCUACAAAAAAAUUAGCUGAGUGUGGUGGCACAUGCCUGUACUCCCAGCUACUCGGGAGGCUGAGGUGGGAGGAUUGCCUGAGCUUGGGAGGCUGAGGUGGGAGGAUUGCUUGAGGCUGGGAGGUGGAGGUUGCAGUGAGCUGAGAUUGAGCCACUGCACCCCAGCCUGGGCAACAGAGUGAGACUCUGUCUCAAAAAGAAAACAACAACAACAACAACAACAACAACAAAAACCAAACCCACAUCACUUUCAUGAUGUCAGCCUCCUGCUAAACACCCACAAUGAGUUUCUUUUUCAUGAAAUUCAGGCUUGUCUGAAUGAAUUUUAAAGACCCUGUCUUAACCUGAGAGUAUUCUAUCUAUGCAGCCACUAUUUUCAUUCCCAUCCAGUAUUCAAACUUUGCUUAAGUCAGAAAGAUCUUCCUCAUUUUCUACUUAACACAUAACAAUCUUUCUUAUUAGUACUUAUAGGCCUUUAUUUACGAUUUUCCCUCCACUCAGAUUCCUCCUUCUAUUAGCGUUUCUAUGGGCUUUGUUCUCUUUCAUACCUCUAUAUGCAUAAUACAGCGGCUACGACUUUGGCAUUUUACACAGCACAUCUAAUACUUGUAAAAGAAAGUCGGUAUUAUCCCUUUUAGAAAGAAAACCACAGUGUAGAAAAUAGAUAAUGUCUGAGGUCA
rnacentral:lncRNA from 10 species